GGGCGCGUAGCUCAGUGGUGAGAGCAACGGUCUUAUAAGCCGCAGGUCGCGGGUUCGAGUCCCGCCGCGCCUACCA
rnacentral:tRNA from 1 species